rnacentral:rRNA from 1 species
AUGGGAACGCGAAGAACCUUACCUGGCCUUGACAUGUCUGGAAUCCUGCAGAGAUGCGGGAGUGCCCUCGGGAACUCUGAGACAGGUGCUGCAUGGCUGUCGUCAGCUCGUGUUGUGAAAUGUUGGGUUAAGUCCCGCAACGAGCGCAACCCUUAUCCUUUGUUGCCAGCGGUUAGGCCGGGAACUCAAAGGAGACUGCCAGUGAUAAACUGGAGGAAGGUGGGGAUGACGUCAAGUCAUCAUGGCCCUUACGAGUAGGGCUACACACGUGCUACAAUGGCGCAUACAAAGAGAAGCGGCCUCGCGAGAGCAAGCGGACCUCAUAAAGUGCGUCGUAGUCCGGAUUGGAGUCUGCAACUCGACUCCAUGAAGUCGGAAUCGCUAGUAAUCGUAGAUCAGAAUGCUACGGUGAAUACGUUCCCGGGUCUUGUACACACCG